GCCUAUGGCCAUACCACACUGAAUGUGCCUGAUUUUGUCUAAUCUCAGAAGCUAAGCAGAGUUGAGCCAGGUUAGUACUCAGAUGGGAGAUAUUUGCUUAAUUGCAGUAGUCU
rnacentral:rRNA from 1 species